rnacentral:tRNA from 2 species
ACCUGGUUAGCUCAGUUGGUAGAGCGAUCCACUAGAAAUGGAGAGGUCCCGGGUUCGAUACCCGGACCAGGCG